rfam:Loxodonta africana unplaced genomic scaffold scaffold_24, whole genome shotgun sequence.
UUGACCUUUUCUAUUUUUAAAUCACUCAAAGAGGGUGGGCUAGGAGGAUGAGUGAAAGAAAAGGUCAA